rnacentral:tRNA from 1 species
GGCGUGGUGACCGAGUGGCUAGGUAGGGGUCUGCAAAACCCCGUACAGGGGUUCAAUUCCCCUCCACGCCU